AUUGAACGCUGGCGGCAGGCCUAACACAUGCAAGUCGAGCGGAUGAAGGGAGCUUGCUCCUGGAUUCAGCGGCGGACGGGUGAGUAAUGCCUAGGAAUCUGCCUGGUAGUGGGGGAUAACGUCCGGAAACGGGCGCUAAUACCGCAUACGUCCUGAGGGAGAAAGUGGGGGAUCUUCGGACCUCACGCUAUCAGAUGAGCCUAGGUCGGAUUAGCUAGUUGGUGGGGUAAAGGCCUACCAAGGCGACGAUCCGUAACUGGUCUGAGAGGAUGAUCAGUCACACUGGAACUGAGACACGGUCCAGACUCCUACGGGAGGCAGCAGUGGGGAAUAUUGGACAAUGGGCGAAAGCCUGAUCCAGCCAUGCCGCGUGUGUGAAGAAGGUCUUCGGAUUGUAAAGCACUUUAAGUUGGGAGGAAGGGCAGUAAGUUAAUACAUUGCUGUUUUGACGUUACCAACAGAAUAAGCACCGGCUAACUUCGUG
rnacentral:rRNA from 1 species